CCUACGGGCGGCAGCAGUGAGGAAUAUUGGUCAAUGGUCGGGAGACUGAACCAGCCAAGCCGCGUGAGGGAGGAAGGUACAGAGUAUCGUAAACCUCUUUUGUCAGGGAACAAAGGCGGGGACGUGUCCCCGGAUGAGUGUUCCUGAAGAAAAAGCAUCGGCUAACGCCGGUCCAGCAGCCGCGGUAAUAAGGAGGAUGCGAGCGUUAUUCGGAUUUAUUGGGUUUAAAGGGUGCGCAGGCGGCGAGUUAAGUCAGCGGUAAAAUUUCGGGGCUCAACCCCGACGAGCCGUUGAAACUGGCGUGCUAGAGUGGGCGAGAAGUAUGCGGAAUGCGUGGUGUAGCGGUGAAAUGCAUAGAUAUCACGCAGAACUCCGAUUGCGAAGGCAGCAUACCGGCGCCCAACUGACGCUCAGGCACGAAAGCGUGGGUAUCGAACAGGAUUAGAUACCCGAGUAGUC
rnacentral:rRNA from 1 species